UCACCUACACUAAUUAAUGCAUGCGUCUAUAUAUAUAUAUAAGUUUGUGUACAUGUUCUUUUUAAGAAAUUUUGCGUGUUUUUUUUUUUUUUGUCUUACGCCGGAUUUAAUUAAAUUUGUUUUUUCCGGCAUAACUGGAUCGUGGUCGUCGUUGAAUCGCCGGCGGUGGCUGGCGUUGCUACGAGAGAUGGCGGCGACGCGCAGUGAAGCGAGACGGUGGAGUGGGCCGGGCUGGCUUCCCGGCGACCAUCGCUAUUCUCUCUCUUUCCCGUUCAGGUUCGUCUCGUCCGGCGAUGGCUUGUCGCUACUACCCUGGCUCCAGUUGACGACGAAAGGGAUCCGGUGGCGUCGCGGUGAGGACGGCGACGGACGAUAGGGUUGCGAAGAGGAGAAACGGCGGUAGUGAAGCUGGUCCCUCUCCUUUAGGCGGCGUAAUGGCGCGUUUCUCCUCUCCGUAAGGCUGUCGGCGGUGGCGUUGCGUUGGAAGAAGUCACGAAGGAGUACUGCUUUGGACUUUGACUUUCGGACAGUUUACCGGUGGUCUAACCCCCUCAAGUGAAAUAUGGAAUUGAUAGAGUAUCUGUCACCCUUCCACGCAUGUAUCAGCUUGCACAAGGAGCUACUGCUGUUGGAACUGGAUUGAAC